UUCAUGCACUUGAACUGAUUAUGUGUGUCGGACUGAAAUGUCCCAGUGGUGCCACAAAGGAAAAGAACAUGGUAAUCUUCCGUGGAUUCCGUUUUCCAGAUGCACAGCAGCAGAAGACCCACUGAGAUCAGCCACGGACUAAGACCAGCUCUCUGUCACCCCGUGUGGAGAAAUCCGCCCCUGUGCUACUACAUGAGGGACCCCAGUCCCCUACACCCCUGCCACUGCACUUAG
rnacentral:lncRNA from 1 species